UCCUACGGGUGGCAGCAGUCUAGAGGCUUCGGCAAUGGGGGCAACCCUGACCGAGCGACGCCGCGUGUGGGAUUGAAGGCCUUCGGGUCGUAAACCACUGUCAUUGGGAAAGAAUGCCUGAAUGGUGAAUUCAGGAGAGACGGUACCCAAGAAGGAAGCCCCGGCUAACUCCGUGCCAGCAGCCGCGGUAAUACGGAGGGGGCAAGCGUUGUUCGGAUUUACUGGGCGUAAAGGGUGUGUAGGCGGUUGCGUAAGUCUGGUGUGAAAGCUUCACCGGUUAACGGGAAGAGGUCACUGGAAACUGCGUAACUCGAGUAUGGUAGAGGCAAGCGGAAUUCCUGGUGUAGCGGUGGAAUGUGUAGAUAUCAGGAAGAACAUCUGUGGCGAAGGCGGCUUGCUGGGCCAUCACUGACGCUGAGACACGAAAGCGUGGGGAGCGAACGGGAUUAGAUACCCUUGUAGUCG
rnacentral:rRNA from 1 species